rnacentral:rRNA from 1 species
AUUGAACGCUGGCGGCAGGCCUCACACAUGCAAGUCGAACGAGUGGCGGACGGGUGAGUAAUGUCUGGGAAACUGCCCGAUGGAGGGGGAUAACUACUGGAAACAGUAGCUAAUACCGCAUACCAUCGGAUGUGCCCAGGUGGGAUUAGCUAGUAGGUGGGGUAACGGCUCACCUAGGCGACGAUCCCUAGCUGGUCUGAGAGGAUGACCAGCCACACGGGGACUGAGACACGGUCCAGACUCCUACGGGAGGCAGCAGUGGGGAAUAUUGGACAAUGGGCGAAAGUCUGAUGCAGCAAUGCCGCGUGUGUGAAGAAGGUUUUCGGGUUGUAAAGUACUUUUAGCGGGGAGGCGGUAUCCGAAGAAGAAGCAACGGCUAACUACGUGCCAGCAGCCGCGGUAAUUC